rnacentral:lncRNA from 1 species
GAGCCUUACAGUAGGAAUGGGACUUUUUUUCUCCCAGAAUUGAUGCUUAGUUGAUAUUGGAGAUGAGAAUUGACAAAUGCUGUGAUAGCUUUAUUCUCCUAAAAAGAUUUUGAAAGAUUUUAAAAAAGCAUAGCCACUCUUGUGUUCAAAAUUUUUUAUGUGACAAAGACUUUCCCAGCAGAAUGAUUUGCAGUUCUGUAAAUAUCUGAAAUAAAAGUCAGCUGAAGAAGAAUCCAACUCGAAAUUUAUAUUAGGUGGCAAUAAAAAGUAUAUGCCAUUUUGUAUUUAUGUAAAAUAAUUGGCCCUCUUUGUCUUUGCUCAUAUCCUGUGUCAGAUAGCUUUUCUGAACCAGAUAAAUGACUGCCCUGGUUAGAGAUGUGCAGUGAAGACAGUGAGUGUCCUUAACUCGUGUGUCACAAGAGUCUCACCCAGGGGCAAAGGUCAAGUCCUUCCUCUCCGUCUUACCAGCCAAGCUGCUCAGUGGGGCUAUUUUGGUAAUGCUU